CUACACGGGUAUCUAAUCCUGUUCGCUCCCCACGCUUUCGCUCCUCAGCGUCAGUUACAGACCAGAGAGUCGCCUUCGCCACUGGUGUUCCUCCACAUCUCUACGCAUUUCACCGCUACACGUGGAAUUCCACUCUCCUCUUCUGCACUCAAGUUUCCCAGUUUCCAAUGACCCUCCCCGGUUGAGCCGGGGGCUUUCACAUCAGACUUAAGAAACCGCCUGCGAGCCCUUUACGCCCAAUAAUUCCGGACAACGCUUGCCACCUACGUAUUACCGCGGCUGCUGGCAC
rnacentral:rRNA from 1 species